rnacentral:rRNA from 1 species
GGCAUGGCUACGGGUACGGGGAUUAGGGUUCGAUUCCGGAGAGGGAGCCUGAGAAACGGCUACCACAUCCAAGGAAGGCAGCAGGCGCGCAAAUUACCCAAUCCCGACACGGGGAGGUAGUGACAAUAAAUAACAAUACAGGGCUCUUUUGGGUCUUGUAAUUGGAAUGAGUACAAUUUAAAUCCCUUAACGAGGAACAAUUGGAGGGCAAGUCUGGUGCCAGCAGCCGCGGUAAUUCCAGCUCCAAUAGCGUAUAUUAAAGUUGUUGCAGUUAAAAAGCUCGUAGUUGAAUUUCGGGGUUCUACCGUUGGUCGGGCUUUGUCUGUACUGGCGUGUAGAAUUUCUACCUUCUGGGGAACCAUUAUGUUAUUAAUUUAGCGUAGUGGGAAACCAGGACCUUUACCUUGAAAAAAUUAGAGUGUUCAAAGCAGGCUUAUGUCUGAAUACAUUAGCAUGGAAUAAUAGAAUAGGACGGUGGUCCUGUUUUGUUGGUUUCUGAAUCACCGUAAUGAUUAAUAGGGAUAGUUGGGGGCAUUAGUAUUCAAUUGUCAGAGGUGAAAUUCUUGGAUUUAUUGAAGACUAACUUCUGCGAAAGCAUUUGCCAAGGAUGUUUUCAUUAAUCAAGAACGAAAGUUAGGGGAUCGAAGACGAUCAGAUACCGUCGUAGUCUUAACCAUAAACUAUGCCGACUAGGGAUCGGACGAUGUUAAUUUUUCUUGACUCGUUCGGCGCCUUACGGGAAACCAAAUUUUUGUGGGUUUCCA